rnacentral:lncRNA from 1 species
GGGUCCGAUGCAAUAAUGACUGCAAGACUCCUCAGACCAGUCCGUGACUGCCGCGUGGCCCACUCACCGUGGCAAGCGGCUAGAGGUGGCCGAUAAUUAGUAAAACCAUUAUGGCACCGUACCUGGGACUGCGCUCUAACGCGAAUUUCAAAAAAAAAAAAUCUUUUCCGAAAAGGCUCCAGUACCAGCGUACCGAACGUCAAAAUAUCUGGCAACCACUGAGUACGAAAAUCGAGGAGAGCAGCUUCGGCCGUGAGAAUUUCUCUGUACUUCCUUCAUUUGGAAUCCGAACUCGAAAGUAGGGAGACCGGUGUUGGGUAUAAAGUACCCCCCGACCGAAGUUUAUAAAAGAUCGAUCCCUCCAGGGCUCUUCCGGCUCCCGACCUUAUGUGUGGCGUCUCUCCGAACCCCCUCAACCGUCCGGACUUCUUCGACAAUGAACUUCUGCAUUCAUCCACUGGGCCACCCCAAAGGCCCUCAGGGCUCCACUGUUAGCCGACCUUC